rnacentral:rRNA from 1 species
CGGGGUGCACCAGGCGCGAAAACUUUACAAUGCUGGCAACAGCGAUAAGGGGACCUCGAGUGCCAGGAUACAAUCUUGGCUGUCGCGAUGCCUAAAAAGCAUUGCAUAGCAAGGGCCGGGCAAGACUGGUGCCAGCCGCCGCGGUAACACCGGCGGCUCGAGUGGUAACCGCUAUUAUUGGGUCUAAAGGGUCUGUAGCCGGCCGGAUAAGUCUUUUGGGAAAUCCAGCUGCUCAACAGUUGGGCUUUCAGAAGAUACUGUUCGGCUCGAGACCGGGAGAGGUGAGAGGUACUUCAGGGGUAGGGGUGAAAUCUUGUAAUCCUUGAAGGACCACCAGUGGCGAAGGCGUCUCACCAGAACGAAUCUGACGGCAAGGGACGCAAGCUAGGGGCACGAACCGGAUUAGAUACCCGGGUAGUCCUAGCCGUAAACGAUACUCGCUAGGUGUCAGCCACGGUGCGACCGUGGUUGGUGCCGUAGGGAAGCCGUGAAGCGAGCCACCUGGGAAGUACGGCCGCAAGGCUGAAACUUAAAGGAAUUGGCGGGGGAGCACAAGGGCGAUUCGC